GGUAACACAGGGGAGCUUGCUCCUGGGUGACGAGCGGCGGACGGGUGAGUAAUGUCUGGGAAACUGCCUGAUGGAGGGGGAUAACUACUGGAAACGGUAGCUAAUACCGCAUAACGUCGCAAGACCAAAGAGGGGGACCUUCGGGCCUCUUGCCAUCAGAUGUGCCCAGAUGGGAUUAGCUAGUAGGUGGGGUAACGGCUCACCUAGGCGACGAUCCCUAGCUGGUCUGAGAGGAUGACCAGCCACACUGGAACUGAGACACGGUCCAGACUCCUACGGGAGGCAGCAGUGGGGAAUAUUGCACAAUGGGCGCAAGCCUGAUGCACCCAUGCCGCGUGUAUGAAGAAGGCCUUCGGGUUGUAAAGUACUUUCAGCGGGGAGGAAGGUGUUGUGGUUAAUAACCACAGCGAUUGACGUUACCCGCAGAAGAAGCACCGGCUAACUCCGUGCCAGCAGCCGCGGUAAUACGGAGGGUGCAAGCGUUAAUCGGAAUUACUGGGCGUAAAGCGCACGCAGGCGGUCUGUCAAGUCAGAUGUGAAAUCCCCGGGCUCAACCUGGGAACUGCAUUCAAAACUGGCAGGCUAGAGUCUUGUAUAGGGGGGUAGAAUUCCAGGUGUAGCGGUGAAAUGCGUAGAGAUCUGGAGGAAUACCGGUGGCGAAGGCGGCCCCCUGGACAAAGACUGACGCUCAUGUGCGAAAGCGUGGGGAGCAACACGAUUAGAUACCCCGGGAGUCCACGCCCUAACGAUGUCGACUUGGAGGUUGUGCC
rnacentral:rRNA from 1 species